CAGCCCUCACACCCACCAUCAGAGCAAGCCACAAGAUUGGUGUCCCUUUCCCAUCGCAGUUGGGGGAACAUGCCGGCCAGCCUCCAGGAGGACGAGACGUGGAGCACUGCCAAGUCCACCUGCACCGUGGAUUUGUGAGGGGCCCACCCAAGCAAAGCCACCUGCUGCCCACAGCUAACCAUAGACCAGUGAGUGAGCCCCACCAGCAAGCUCAGAGCAGCAGACUCACCCUGCCAACUAGGGACUCAUGAGCACAAGUAAAUGAUUAGGAAACUGAGGUUUGGCUUGCCCAGAGUUACCCAGCAAGAGGCAGAGACAGGAUUCAAAGCCCACCCCUGCUUUCCCGCUUCUAUGGGCCAGGCUGCUCUGGGGGCCACCUCCAGAGAUGGAAGACACUCCUGAGGCAAACCUCCUUUCUGCUCUGCCUUUGGCCUCAGGCCAGGCCCCACUCGGGCCUCACUCCAGAAGGCAGACGAAGGUGAGGAAGCGUCCUUAUCUUGGUGAUGGAUUUUCAUUCUGUAAAGUACAAGGAAGUUGGCCCGUGGAGAGGAACCACAGGGAACAGCCGCAGCCGAGCUGAAAUGGCAGUGCCUUGCUGACCCCAACAGCCCCAGCCAGGUGCCAAGCUGGCCCGAGACUUGCUUUCCUGUGCACCUUGCAGCCUGACUCAGAAUAGCUGUUGAGUGCCACAGGUGACAUAACUAAUUAAAACGGUG
rnacentral:lncRNA from 1 species